rnacentral:rRNA from 1 species
GACGAACGCUGGCGGCGUGCUUAACACAUGCAAGUCGAACGGAAAAGCCCCGUUGGGGUAACGCGAGUGGCGAACGGGAGCGUAACACGUAAGUAACCUGCCCUUGACUUCGGGAUAACUUCAGGAAACUGGGGCGAAUACCGGAUAGGCAUCCUUGCUGCAUGGAGGGGGUUGAAGAGCUUCGGCGGUGUUGGAUGGACUCACGGCUGAUCAGCCUGUUGGUGGGGUAGUGGCUUACCAAGGGUUUGACGGGUAGGCGGCCUGAGAGGGCGACCGGCCACAUUGGGACUGAGAGACGGACCAGACUCCUACGGGAGGCAGCAGUGGGGAGUAUUGCACAAUGGGCGGAAGCCUGUUGCAGCGACGCCGCGUGCGGGAUGACGGGCUUCGGGUUGUAAACCGCGUUCAGCAGGGGAGAAGCUUGUGGUGACGGUACCUGCAGAAGAAGCACCGGCUAACUACGUG